rnacentral:rRNA from 1 species
UAACAAGGAUUCCCCUAGUAACUGCGAGUGAAGCGGGAAAAGCUCAAAUUUAAAAUCUGGCAGUCUUUGGCUGUCCGAGUUGUAGUCUGGAGAAGUGUUUUCCGCGCUGGACCGUGUACAAGUCUCCUGGAACGGAGCGUCAUAGAGGGUGAGAAUCCCGUCUUUGACACGGACUACCAGUGCUUUGUGAUGCGCUCUCAAAGAGUCGAGUUGUUUGGGAAUGCAGCUCAAAAUGGGUGGUAAACUCCAUCUAAAGCUAAAUAUUGGCGAGAGACCGAUAGCGAACAAGUACCGUGAGGGAAAGAUGAAAAGCACUUUGGAAAGAGAGUUAAACAGUACGUGAAAUUGCUGAAAGGGAAACGCUUGAAGUCAGUCGCGUUUGCUAGGACUCAGCCUUGCAUUAGCUAAGGUGCACUUCCUAGUAGACGGGCCAGCAUCACUUUUGGCUGCGGGAAAAAGGUCAGAGGAAUGUGGCACCUCCGGGUGUGUUAUAGCCUCUGGCUGUAUACCGUGGCUGGGAGUGAGGAACUCAGCACGCCUUUAUGGCGGGGCUUCGGCCACCUUCGUGCUUAGGAUGCUGGCGUAAUGGCUUUAAACGAC